UAACAAGGAUUCCCCUAGUAGCGGCGAGCGUAGAGGGAAGAGCCCAGCACCGAACCUCGCGCCCUCGGGUGUCGCGGAAUGUGGUGUUCAGGAGGACCGUGCGCGUCUGUCCGGUAUCGUCCAAGUCUCCAUGAAUGGGGCCAGCAACCCAGAGAGGGUGUCAGGCCCGUGGGACGAGCCGCGACCGUGUAUUGGGUCUCUCCUUAGAGUCGGGUUGCUUGAGAGUGCAGCCCUAAGCGGGAGGUAAACUCCUUCUAAGGCUAAAUACGGCCACGAGACCGAUAGCAAACAAGUACCGCGAGGAAAGUUGAAAAGAACUUUGAAGAGAGAGUUCAAGAGUGCGUGAAACCGUUCAGGGGGUUAAACGGGUGGGCCCUCGAAGGUCGAACGGUCCCCACUCCCGUCACCUGUAGUGCCGGCCCGUGCUGCUUUUCGAUUCCGCUACGGAACGAGGCUUGGUGCGGUUCGCCGGUCUACGGGGGCCGCUAGCUGGGGACCCAGUAGGACUCCGCAACCGGCUGGGAGGCCGUCAGAAGGGUUCUGUGAGGAAGCCCCCUCGUUGGGGUGGAUUCCGGGAUUCCGGGCGGUCCUCUCGGCCGUGAACCAAAAUUUCUCUCCUCACGGGGAGAAUGAGCGGAGAGUAGAGUCGGGUCCCACCCGACCCGUCUUGAAACACGGACCAAGGAGUCUAACAUGUGCGCGAGUCGUCGGGUACUACUAAACCCGAAGGCGUAAUGAAAGUGAAAGGCGCCCUUGUUGGCGGCCGAGGGGAGAUCCCGUUCUGCUCCGGUAGCUCGGGCGCAUCCCCGGGCGUCGAAGCCGCGUUGCCGGCUAGACGAACCAAGAGCGUACACGUUGGGACCCGAAAGAUGGUGACCUAUGCCUGGCCAGGACGAAGCCAGGGGAAACCCUGGUGGAGGUCCGCAGCGAUUCUGACGUGCAAAUCGAUCGUCUGAGUUGGGUAUAGGGGCGAAAGACUAAUC
rnacentral:rRNA from 1 species